CCUACGGGAGGCAGCAGUGAGGAAUAUUGGUCAAUGGACGGAAGUCUGAACCAGCCAAGUCGCGUGCAGGAUGACUGCCCUAUGAGUUGUAAACUGCUUUUGUACAAGGGUAAACCUGGGCACGUGUACCUUGUUGCAUGUACUGUAUGAAUAAGGAUCGGCUAACUCCGUGCCAGCAGCCGCGGUAAUACGGAGGAUCCGAGCGUUAUCCGGAUUUAUUGGGUUUAAAGGGAGCGUAGAUGGGUUGUUAAGUCAGUUGUGAAAGGUUGCGGCUCAACCGUAAAAUUGCCAUUGAUACUGGUAGUCUUGAGUAUAGUUGAGGUAGGCGGAAUGUGUGGUGUAGCGGUGAAAUGCUUAGAUAUCACGCAGAACCCCGAUUGCGAAGGCAGUUUACUAAACUGUGACUGACAUUGAGGCUCGAAAGCGUGGGUAGCAAACAGGAUUAGAUACCCCAGUAGUC
rnacentral:rRNA from 1 species